ACCCUAACCUUGGUUGUAUGGAACAAAGGGCUUGGGUUGAUUCUGCUACGUUGAAAGGUAGACUUGGUCCUGCGGGUUUGCAACGUUAGAAGCGGUAUCAAGAAGCAUCCUGAUCUUGGGAACGACACCUCUGUAGAGGGUGCUGAGAAGUGAAGCUUUGGAGAAACCAUGAUGAGGACAUUGUGUCUGGUAACCUUUGAAUCGCUCUCAUGCUUCGCAGAAAGUCUCAUUAUUUGUCUGUAUGAAACCGGAGAUAUCAUUCCUUAGUCUCGCAGUCCUGGAGUUUGAGAAAAACUUAGCCAAGAAGGCUUUCUUGCAGUAAUUCCAGGAGGUGAUAGAGCCUUGAGGAAGCGACUUUUCCCACUGAUGGGCUUUGUCUCCAAGAGAGAAUGGAAACAAUCUGAGCUUGAAGCCAUGCUCACUAACUCCAUUGAUCUUUGUUAGGCUGCAGAGCCUAUCAAACUCGUCCAGGUGAUCGAGUGGAUCCUCCAUAGGGAGGCCGUGGAACUUGUUGCUCUGAACCAUGGCAAUAAGACCGCUCUUGAUCUCAAAGUUGUUGUUCUGCACAGGUGGAGGCACGAUGCCAUUACACUGAUUGUGGUUGUGUGGUGCAUCGCCUGCACCUAUGUUGUUUGGUUGCACUUGCUCAUCUACAACAGCAGCCAUUGUGUCUGUUUCUGUUUGUGUUCUGAGUUGGUGUGCAAUACGGUCGAUGUUAUCGUUGAACAAGAGAUUCUGAUUUCCUCGUGACCGUGUUUGCAUACAAAGUUAGUAACUUUCAGAAAAAUUGAAAAAGAACUUGAUCUUAAGUAUUCUGAAAUCUCAAAUAUAGCAAACAAACACCCAAUUGGCAACGGCGCCAAAUUGAUAAUAGGUUUUUGCUCAAUUAAUCCUAUAGCACUAUCAUGUCGUUGUAGUAUUUUAGUUGCCAGACACUGGGUGUGGUCGAGUAAGUUGGUCGAGUAAUUGUAAAAACUAAGAAACAGACAAUGAGAACGAUUAAGCGAUAACGAUAAAACAGAGAAAUAAUAUAGACGAGAAAUUCCUAAGGAUGGGGUAAUCGAGUAGAGUGGUAUCCUAGCCUAUUCGAAUGGUUAACAAACGCAAUCAAGCUAUCCCUAGACAACAGGUUCAGCAGCAGAUCAAUUCACUUUCGUGAUAGAAUUCCUCAAGCAAAGCUAGCCCAGACUAGUUCCCAUUAAUGGAAUCUAACUAUGCAGGCAAUAAGAACAGACUGAUAAAGUCAAUAAACGCUCUAAACGGCCAAUCCCUUGGGAUAGAGACGCAUAUCUCAGGAACUAGUGGAUCAAGCAUUCAAUCGAACACCUUCUGGGUGCGGGAAUGCUUGGGAUCGAAUUCCAGUUGAUCAGAAAGAAAUAAGCAGUAAACGCAACUAGUCCUAAAGGGAUUCAAUCAAUUCUAAAACUUCACCAUUCUACAGAGUACGGAUUCCACAACUAUUCUAACCCAUCCCUAGGAAUUCUAAGUCACUACUCAGACAACAUGCUUAAAGACAUAAACGCAAAUAAAUGAUAAUAUUGCAUAAGUAAAGAGAUAAAGAGUAGAGAAACAAGAUGACAGAUGAAAUCAAAUGCGGAAUCUAAAUAACUUGGAAAAAUCUAGAAUUACAGGUUGGAGAAGCAAAAGCGGCGCAGCAGAGUAAAACAGAAAAUAAAACUGAAGCAAAAACUCAAUGUCGACUAGAAGUCUCAGGACAGAACCCUAAGACAUCUAUUUAUACAAAACGAAAUAAAAUGAUCGUAAACGGGCCAAUAACCUAAUCGCUCGGCCCAUAGAAAAUGGGCCGAGAUGGGCUUCGUGAUCCGAUGGAGGUCCAGGCCGCUUCCAAACACUUUGUCUUCUCUUCUUCUCUUCCUUGUGCUCAGCUUGUCUGGUUGAGUGUGGAUUUGAGUAGACUGUGAAGACGUGAUCGAGUGUCCGGUCGAGUGAUGGUGUUGGUGGUGAGUGAUGAUACUCGACCACAGGGUCGAGUAACGUGGUAGAGUGAACGGUCGAGUGUUGUCAGGUGGUGUUGCGAAGUGAUACUCGACCAGGUGGUCGAGUGGUGUCAUAGAGUGGCCUGAGCUGAGGUUACUCGACCUGGGGGUCGAGUAGAUGGGAAGAAUGUGAAACGUCCCAUCCCGGGCUGUCCGCCCGGUGAGGUUGUUCCCAUCCGAGGAUAACUCAAGUGUCCUUAGGUCCUAUCCGAAUUCGCUCUAAGUGUAAUUCUCACCGGAAAUUCUGAGAUUCAUAAGUAAAAAAGAGACAAAUUCACACAAAGAAACAAGCCAACUUUAUUCAUAUAAGGUUUCGAACGACAUGAGUGUUUGCACUAUAGGCUAUUACAAUCAUUCGAUCCAAUACUUUAACUUAAACACCACCCACUUGCCCGGACAACCAUCCUUGCCGCUAAGCCAUAUCCUUCCCACGAACUUGGUCACAUUCUGAAAUUAACGAAUCAUGAGUAUGAU
rnacentral:sRNA from 1 species